GCAGUCAGAGGCGAUGAAGGACGUGCUAAUCUGCGAAAAGCGUCGGUAAGGUGAUAUGAACCGUUAUAACCGGCGAUGUCCGAAUGGGGAAACCCAGUGCAAUUCGUUGCACUAUCGUUAACUGAAUACAUAGGUUAACGAGGCGAACCGGGGGAACUGAAACAUCUAAGUACCCCGAGGAAAAGAAAUCAACCGAGAUUCCCCCAGUAGCGGCGAGCGAACGGGGAGCAGCCCAGAGUCUGAAUCAGCUUGUGUGUUAGUGGAACGGUCUGGAAAGUCCGACGGUACAGGGUGAUAGUCCCGUACACCAAAAUGCACAGGUUGUGAACUCGAAGAGUAGGGCGGGACACGUGGUAUCCUGUCUGAAUAUGGGGG
rnacentral:rRNA from 1 species